rnacentral:rRNA from 1 species
AACGAACGCUGGCGGCGUACUUAACACAUGCAAGUCGGACGAGAAAUUCCGAUUCGUCGGGAGAGUAAAGUGGCGAACGGGUGAGUAACACGAGGGUAAUCUACCCUUAAAUUAGGGAUAACCUUGCGAAAGCGAAGCUAAUACCUGAUAAGACUACGAUCUCCAAGGGGAUAGUAGGAAAAGAUGGCCUCUGUUUCAUGCUAUCGUUUAAGGAUGAGCCCUUGCACUAUUAGCUUGUUGGUGAGGUAAUGGCCCACCAAGGCUACGAUGGUUAGCUGGUCUGAGAGGAUGAUCAGCCACACUGGAACUGAGACACGGUCCAGACUCCUACGGGAGGCAGCAGUGAGGAAUAUUGCGCAAUGGGGGAAACCCUGACGCAGUGACGCCGCGUGAGCGAUGAAGGCUUUCGAGUCGUAAAGCUCUGUUAGG